GACGAACGUUGGCGGCGUGCUUAACACAUGCAAGUCGAACGGAAAGGCCCUGCUUUUGUGGGGUGCUCGAGUGGCGAACGGGUGAGUAACACGUGAGUAACCUGCCCUUGACUUUGGGAUAACUUCAGGAAACUGGGGCUAAUACCGGAUAGGAGCUCCUGCUGCAUGGUGGGGGUUGGAAAGUUUCGGCGGUUGGGGAUGGACUCGCGGCUUAUCAGCUUGUUGGUGGGGUAGUGGCUUACCAAGGCUUUGACGGGUAGCCGGCCUGAGAGGGUGACCGGCCACAUUGGGACUGAGAUACGGCCCAGACUCCUACGGGAGGCGGCAGUGGGGAAUAUUGCACAAUGGGCGGAAGCCUGAUGCAGCAACGCCGCGUGCGGGAUGACGGCCUUCGGGUUGUAAACCGCUUUCGCCUGUGACGAAGCGUGAGUGACGGUAAUGGGUAAAGAAGCACCGGCUAACUACGUGCCAGCAGCCGCGGUGAUACGUAGGGUGCGAGCGUUGUCCGGAUUUAUUGGGCGUAAAGGGCUCGUAGGUGGUUGAUCGCGUCGGAAGUGUAAUCUUGGGGCUUAACCCUGAGCGUGCUUUCGAUACGGGUUGACUUGAGGAAGGUAGGGGAGAAUGGAAUUCCUGGUGGAGCGGUGGAAUGCGCAGAUAUCAGGAGGAACACCAGUGGCGAAGGCGGUUCUCUGGGCCUUUCCUGACGCUGAGGAGCGAAAGCGUGGGGAGCGAACAGGCUUAGAUACCCUGGUAGUCCACGCUGUAAACGGUGGGUACUAGGUGUGGGGUCCAUUCCACGGGUUCCGUGCCGUAGCUAACGCUUUAAGUACCCCGCCUGGGGAGUACGGCCGCAAGGCUAAAACUCAAAGGAAUUGACGGGGCCCCGCACAAGCGGCGGAGCAUGCGGAUUAAUUCGAUGCAACGCGUAGAACCUUACCUGGGUUUGACAUGGAUCGGGAGUGCUCAGAGAUGGGUGUGCCUCUUUUGGGGUCGGUUCACAGGUGGUGCAUGGCUGUCGUCAGCUCGUGUCGUGAGAUGUUGGGUUAAGUCCCGCAACGAGCGCAACCCUUGUUCACUGUUGCCAGCACGUUAUGGUGGGGACUCAGUGGAGACCGCCGGGGUCAACUCGGAGGAAGGUGGGGACGACGUCAAGUCAUCAUGCCCCUUAUGUCCAGGGCUUCACGCAUGCUACAAUGGCUGGUACAGAGAGUGGCGAGCCUGUGAGGGUGAGCGAAUCUCGGAAAGCCGGUCUCAGUUCGGAUUGGGGUCUGCAACUCGACCUCAUGAAGUCGGAGUCGCUAGUAAUCGCAGAUCAGCAACGCUGCGGUGAAUACGUUCCCGGGGCU
rnacentral:rRNA from 1 species